rnacentral:rRNA from 1 species
UUCCCUUGUGGCUGGUGUACAGGUGGUGCAUGGUUGUCGUCAGCUCGUGUCGUGAGAUGUUGGGUUAAGUCCCGCAACGAGCGCAACCCUUGUCUUAUGUUGCCAGCAUUUGGUUGGGGACUCAUGAGAGACUGCCGGGGUUAACUCGGAGGAAGGUGGGGAUGACGUCAAAUCAUCAUGCCCCUUAUGUCCAGGGCUUCACACAUGCUACAAUGGUCGGUACAACGCGCAGCGACACUGUGAGGUGGAGCUAAUCGCUGAAAGCCGGUCUUAGUUCGGAUUGGGGUCUGCAACUCGACCCCAUGAAGUCGGAGUCGCUAGUAAUCGUAGAUCAGCAACGCUGCGGUGAAUACGUUCCCGGGCCUUGUACACACCGCCCGUCACGUCAUGAAAGUUGGUAACACCCGAAGCCAGUGGCCCAAACUCGUUAGGGAGCUGUCGAAGGUGGGAUCGGCGAUUGGGACGAAGUCGUAACAAGGUAGCCGUACCGGAAGGUGCGGCUGGAUCACCUCCUUU